rnacentral:rRNA from 1 species
GACGAACCAUGCAAACGUUAUUCGGAAUCACUGGGCUUAAAGCGUGCGUAGGCGGUUCAGAAAGUUGGGUGUGAAAUACUUCGGCUCAACCGAGGAAUUGCGCCCAAAACUACUGGGCUUGAGGGAGUUAGAGGUGAGCGGAACUCACGGUGGAGCGGUGAAAUGCGUUGAUAUCGUGAGGAACACCGGAGGCGAAAGCGGCUCACUGGGGCUUCACUGACGCUGAGGCACGAAAGCUAGGGGAGCAAACGGG